rnacentral:rRNA from 1 species
AUGGCCGCGGCGGCGGCGGAGGCGUCCACGGCGCCAAGGAGCCGCCCGGAGGAGGAGGAGGAGGAGGAGGCGAUGGCGGUGCUGGACUUCGACAUGCUCUGCGCGUCCGUGGCCAUGUCGGCGGAGAGGAGGAAGGGCGCCGGCAUGGAGGCGGUGGCGGCGUGCUCGGGCGGCGCCGAGAGCGCCGGCGGAGGAGGGGUGCAGAGGAUGUGGGAGGGGGACGUCGUGAUUGAUUGCUUGGAGGACCGGCGAAUCGCGCUCGAGGCCGCCUGUUGCCCAUGCUAUAGGUUUGGCAAGAACACGCGGAGAGCCAAUCUCGGAUCUUGCUUCCUUCAGGCAAUGGCUUACUUCAUUUCAUUAGUUGCUGUUCUGGUCAGCUUAGUUGCCUUUUCCGUAACAAGGCAUCAUGUAUAUCUCUAUAUGGGACUUGGUUCUGUUCUCUUGAUAGCAAUCUACACCGGUUACUUCCGAAGAAGAAUCAGGAAACAGUUCAAUAUCCGGGGGACUGAUGGCAGUCUAGAUGACUGUGUUCUCCAUCUGAUAUGUCCUUGUUGUACCCUGUGCCAGGAGGCGAGAACUUUAGAGAUGAAUAAUGUCCAGUGUGGUGUCUGGCACGGGCGGGGUGAUACCAUUUGUUUAGGGAGCAACGGUGAAGGAAACAAGGCCUUCGCUGCUCUACACAAAUCACCAUUUGUGCUUAUAAAAUCCCCCGAGUUGUGUGGCAUGGACAGAAUAUCAAGUGGUGCUGAUGAACAUCAGCCGCUCGUCCCAUCAGCGCAGCCAGAGCAGGAGUAA